GACGAACGCUGGCGGCGUGCCUAACACAUGCAAGUUGAGCGACGAACCAGGGCUUGCCCUGGGGCAAAGCAGCGAACGGGUGAGUAACACGUGGGUAACCUACCCCGAUAACCGGGACAACCCGAGGAAACUCGGGCUAAUACCGGAUGUGCUCACUGGACUUCGGUUCAGUGCGUAAAGGAAGCUUCGGCCUCCGUAUCGGGAGGGGCCCGCGGCCCAUUAGUUAGUUGGUGAGGUAACGGCUCACCAAGACCGCGAUGGGUAGCUGGUCUGAGAGGACGAUGAGCCACACUGGGACUGAGACACGGCCCAGACUCCUACGGGAGGCAGCAGUGGGGAAUCUUGCGCAAUGCGCGAAAGCGUGACGCAGCAACGCCGCGUGGGGGAAGAAGGCCUUCGGGUUGUAAACCCCUUUCAGGAGGGACGAAGGUUCGGCGGUGAAUAGCCGUCCGGACUGACGGUACCUGCACAAGAAGCCCCGGCUAACUACGUGCCAGCCGCCGCCGUAA
rnacentral:rRNA from 1 species